UCUCGACCUCCAGCGUGCCAGCACCUCCCGCCCCGCCCCAGCGCGCCGCCACCUCCCACUCCGCCCCAUCUUAUCGAUGCGUUCGGGCAGGGCGCCGCCGCCGCCGCCAGCCACUCGCCCUCCCAAUCCCAUCUCGAACUCCACCGCGCCUCCACUCCCGCCCCGCGCCAUCUUACCGAUGCGUUCGAGCAGGGCGCCGUCGCCGCGCGUGGCCGCGCGGCCAGUUUUCUUCUUUGUCUAUCCGUUCUGGGGGCGCUCGACAUCGCCGUGCCGCCGAUCUGCCGGCUUCGCCGGAACUCCGUUUGUUAGCAUCUUCUCCACCCCUUGGUGAUGAGCGGCUGAGCCAAGGAGCGGAGUCAGGCGCCGCCGCGCGUACAUGCCGCGUUCGUGCGAGAGUGGGGACGGUCUGACAGGGGAUGCAGACUUGGUUGGGGAACAAGAGCACGCGAAGCUAGGAGCAGGGGCCGAUCGAUGGGCAGCGCGAGGACCUCCUACUGGGUUGUGAGGAAAUCAGUAUAAAAUCUUUGUUGUCGGAGUUCCCUUGGAACUGCGCAGAAGAUGGGGUGAUGGAUUCAGUGUCAAGAUUCAAUGAAGAUCCAUCUGUUCGUGGCCUGCUUGUUCACCCACUACUACCACAAGCAAUGUAUUUUAGGGUAUGUUUGGUUCUUGCCUAUAGCUGCCCUGCCAAUAUUGGCUUGCCAAUUAUUUGGAGUGGGAUUCCAACGCCCAGGGUUGGCCAAAGAUUUGGCAAGAAUCUGUGAAGGAAGCAACAAUGGACUUUGUUGGCAGCCAAAUAUUUGGCAACAAACCAAACAACACAUAAGGAAUUUGGCAUGACCAAUAUUUUGGUAGGGUAAGUUGGAGGCGUAAACCAAACAGGCCCUUACUUUUCUGGAUGCAGCCCUAGAAAGGAAUUAUGUUUGGUUUAGUUCAUAGAAAGAUAUAUCACAAAAUCCUUUUUGUUUACAUACUAACUGAAUAAUACGAAGUAUUUUAGUUCUCAUGGUAAUAGACAAGCAACUUCAGUAGUAUUUGAUUUGAGUUUUUGUUUUUAAGUAUAUGUUUGGUCAAGAUUCAACUUUCUUUAUGUCCAUGUUUUGCUGGUAUAAUGCAUCAUCAAGCUUUGUUUUAUAUGAUGACAUUGUGUAAAUCAGCAUAUGGAUGAGGAAAGUAUUCUGAGCGCAGAUGCUCGCCGCCGCCGCUGCUUCUGACAACGUGUGAGCCGCCUAAUCGAGCGAGGAUUCGCCGCUCAUCCUAAGAGGACUCGCCGCUCUUCCAUGACGCCGCCGCUGCAACGCGGCGUUGUUCCAGCACCAAAUCGCAGAUGCAUCUUUGCAAAUCCAACAAAGUGGUGGGAAUAUCUACAACAUGAAGUUUCUCAAGCUGAUAGGGCAUUCUUCUGCAUGUUUGUGACAUGAUCAUGGUGCACAUAUAUUUAAUAGUGAAGGUCUUCGGCUAUCACUAUGAAUGGUUCUGCUGUUGUGUAAGUGAUUUCUUAAGUGUUGUGUUGUAACACAUUAGAGUAAAAGAUUAAUUGUGUAUGAAGAAUAAUAUUACGGAGUCAGGCACAAUUUGACCUUAGUUCUGACCAAAUUAAUCUUUAUUUGUUUGCUAGGUUGUGUGUCAAACAUCACUUCAUGUUGUAGUGCAUUUUUUCCUUUCAAAAUCCACAUUAUGCAAUUUGGCUUUAUAAGAAGUUUCACUUUAUUAUUAGUGGAGAACGGGAGAUACGGAAAGGGAAGGGAAAAACAGUAAUUCUAGCAACUAGCCAUUGUUCCGUGGCAAAACACAGGUGUUUGUUCUAUUAUGUUCAUCGGAAGUCUUUACGGAGGAGUUGGGUCUGGGUGAGUGACAUAUAUUUGCUUGAGGUCACGAAUUCUUUUCUGCUGUUACUUGCAUCUUACUUGAUUUUUUUUUCUUUAAGUUCUUCAUGUUUUCCCAUAUCGUCUGCUCUAUAGAAGCUGCUACCUCAAAUUAAGUAAGUGCAUCCUUCUUUUUUGUCCAAGUUUGUUCUAUUCUAUUACUCAGAAGUCUGUACAAGACUGAGAGACUGAAGCAUAUUUGCUUGAGAGUUGAAUUAUUUUUGGAUGUCAGGUUUGUACGCUAUACUGUUUGAUUAAUGAAAACUGAUAAAAGUAGUGGCAAACACUUGAUUGAGUAAGCUACUGGAUUUUACCAGUAAUACACAGUAGUUUCUUGCAAUAUUAUCUGCAUGACAAGAAACAUCCAUAUUUGAUUUUGCUCUGUGAUUGGUUCAAAUAUCACUUUUUGGGCUAAAGCUGAUUGGAUACGAGUAGUAGUGUCAACAGUAAUAACUUGAAACAUGAUUUUAUCAUGGCUCUAAAUUUUAUUACUGAUGAUUUCUUUCAGGAUAUUUGUAGAGGCUAUUCGCACCGUAGUUCAAGGCAGAUGAUAGAGUACAGGCUAGG